GUCUCUGCGCUCUGGUUGGCUGAAGUGGAACCGGCUGGGGGCAGCCCAGAAAACAAAUCAGAGUCCCCAGAGGUUCCAGGGGGCAGUGAGGUCAUGGCCACCUGUCCAAAGGCACUCCACUACAGUAAUGAAAGGCUGCCCUACACAAUGACAGCAGAUGGCAUGAUGCAGAAAAAAAGAAGACAAAGACAACAGAAACGAAGAUGAGAAUAAGGAUUCAGAAAACUUGAUUCAAGGAUAGAACUGAGGAUUAGCCAUUCGAAUUUGUAACAAGCCUCAGAAUUGAUUCUGUUGAAGACAUUCCAUGGCCUACAUCAGCAAAACAAAACAACAAAACCCAACAGUUUCUGGUUAUUUUCUCUUUCUUGAGAUGUUGCUUCAUAAUCUCUUUAAGUAUGAAAGCCAGGCUGUUUCCCUAGUGACAAAGACCCCCUUAACAAGACAAGGCACUGGGAAGAUGCAUUCCCCAGGACAGUCAACCUGCCACACUGCUGUCCCAGAAUGGUGGGCAAGUGCACAUGAACAUGUGUGUGUGUGUCUGUGUGUGCACAUGUCUGAUGAAGUUACAAAAACCAAAAAGGAAAAAAAAGAAGAAAAUAAAAGAAACAAAUAGGAAGAGUCUUUUUACCCCAGAUGUAAUACCUGAAUGAAGUUGACUGUGUCUAAAUAAUGAAGUGAGGCAGGUUUAGUGAGAUGUUUGUUGGGCUCAUAACUGUUCUGGGGGGAGAUAUAUUAAUGGAAAGCUAAAUGGGGUCUUCUCUAGGUCAAGGUCUCCAUCUGAAUGUGUCUACAAAUCACUCUUCACAACCAAAUGACAUAAUGCAUAUACCAGAUGGGUUUUACCAUCCAUAAAAGCCAUUUCUGACUGCUGAUACAGGAGGGUUGGAAUGAAAUGGGAAAGCAAAUUGGCAAGCCCAUGCUGUUGGAGAAGAAUACAAUCUAAAUGGCCUUCAAGUGUUUUGUUUUGAUCUCCAUGUUUAUUUACAUAAUUGGGGGUCCAUAUGUAUUGUCUACUCCUA